UGCCAGACUCCUACGGGAGGCAGCAGUGGGGAAUAUUGGACAAUGGGGGGAACCCUGAUCCAGCGACGCCGCGUGAGUGAAGAAGUAUUUCGGUAUGUAAAGCUCUAUCAGCAGGGAAGAAAAUGACGGUACCUGACUAAGAAGCCCCGGCUAACUACGUGCCAGCAGCCGCGGUAAUACGUAGGGGGCAAGCGUUAUCCGGAUUUACUGGGUGUAAAGGGAGCGUAGACGGUGCAGCAAGUCUGAUGUGAAAGGUGGGGGCCCAACCCCGGGACUGCUUUGGAAACUGUGUAACUGGAGUACAGGAGGGGCAGGCGGAAUUCCUGGUGUAGCGGUGAAAUGCGUAGAUAUCAGGAGGAACACCGGCGGCGAAGGCGGCCUGCUGGACUGAAACUGACGUUGAGGCUCGAAAGCGUGGGGAGCAAACAGGAUUAGAUACCCCAGUACC
rnacentral:rRNA from 1 species